UCUUCUGGCAAAAUCAGCAAA
rnacentral:piRNA from 1 species